GAGCGCGAGGCGGGCGGGCGGAGGCCCAGGCGCGGGGCCGGGACGCGGGGCGGGCAGAGGCCCAGGCGCGGGGCCGGGACGUGAAGUGGGCGGGCAGAGGCCCAGGCGCGGGGCCGGGACGCGGGGCGCGGGGUGGGCGGAGGCCCAGGCGCCAGGCCCGGACGCGGGGCGGGCGCGUCCAUCCGAGGCCCGGGCCGCCUCUCAGUCGGGCUGCGGGGCCGUGUCGUGGGCACCGUGGGCACCGCCCAGGCACCUGCCGGCCCCGGGUGAGGCCGCGGGUCGGGGUCCCCAACCCGCUGGGGGGCGAAUGGGCCCGGUGCCAGAAGGCCCUUCAGGGUCUUGAGGAAAGCCCGCUGCCCUCUCCCGCCUCUGCUUGCGGAGCUGAGCGCCUCCGGCGGUGGUGUUGGGAAGCGAGCGGGAGGAAGCGGCAGGGCGGCAGCAGAUGGCAAGCCUGUGUGGGGGUCGUGGCUUCCCAGAUUCGAGAUUCUAGAAAGUUGAUCCCCAAACAUUAUGAACAUCCGCCUACGCGAGCCUCUGGCAAAAUUAAAUGUCCAGGGGCUGCAGGAACUAAUGAGCUUCACCAUAGAGUUUGUCCUUGAAGCAAAAGGUAUUUGCACAAGCAAGUUCUGAUGGAAGCAUACAGAAUGCAUGAGACCCCGAUCACUGGGAUCCCCCUUCUCCGAGGGCCAGAGACAACCAGCAGCACAGCGGGGCGGGUUCCUGGGAAGAGAGCAAUCAUGUCACCCACCGCGCAAACGAGCAAGCGGAGGAAAGGCAGGGCCGUGCAAGCGCUGCUCCGACCAGUAGGCCGGAAGGUGCCCAACUCUCCUUUCUUAAAACAACUAAAUAUCGGUGUGAAAACUCGAAUGAAGAGGCCCACGACGCUGAAGACAAGGACGAAAAAGAGAAGUUUAACAAAAAACAAGAAGGACCCGAAAACGCUCUGGACCCCACAGACAGCACACCGAGAAAAUCCAGUUGGGAGGAAUAGAAAGAAGAUGGAGAAAGAAGAAAGAACCUGCUCUUCACCCUUUAGGUUUUUCGUUUUUUAGAAGCCCAAGGGAAUUUUAUCAACACUGAUUUCAUUCCAACUUCAUCACCCCAAAAGUGACAUCCACUGACAUCUGACUUUUCCCUUACAUUUUGCAGAUAUAUUUGACAGCAUUUCUUCUAGUUAAAAAAUUUGUUUUAAAUUAAUAAACUGAAAUGAAGGCAGAUUUUAUUUACAUAAAUAAUCCUGACAAAUCUUUUACCUCAUUUUUUUUUUUUUUGGCUUACUGUACCUUCAUUAAGACUUAUCACUUUCCACCAUUUGGUAAGCCUAUAUUUAUUAUUUUAUUGUAGCUCAAAAUAAGUUAAAAUGUCAAGUUUAAAAUAAUUUUGUGAAGAGAGAGAUGGAGGUCAAGCCUUUAAUGCUGCACUGUCCACUGUUAGUCACUAGCCACAUCUGGCUCCUGAGCACUUGAAAUAUGGCUAGUCUGAUUUGAGAUGUGCUACAGGUAUAAAAAAAAGUUACAUGUCUUACUAAUAAUUUUAUACUGAUUACAUGUUGAAGUGAU
ensembl:lncRNA